rnacentral:rRNA from 1 species
CAAUAGCGUAUAUUAAAGUUGUUGCGGUAAAAAAGCUCGUAGUUGGAUUUCUACCGAAGAUAGCCGGUCGGGUCUUCGACCUUGUAUCUGGUUUUGUCUUUGGUAUCCUCAUAGGGAACGUUUCUGCGCUUUAUUGCGUGGUGCGGUAUCUAUGACUUUUACUUUGAGGAAAUUAGAGUGUUCACGGCAGGCAAACGCCUUGAAUAUAUUAGCAUGGAAUAAUAACAUAGGAUCUUCGUCCUAUUUUGUUGGUUUCUAGGGCUAAGAUAAUGAUUAAUAGGGAUAAUUGGGGGCAUCUGUAUCAACGCGUCAGAGGUGGAAUUCUUGGAUUGCGUUGCGACAAACUACUGCGAAAGCAUUUGCCGAGGAUGUUUUCAUUGA